UACAGAGGGGGGCAAGCGUUGUUCGGAAUUACUGGGCGUAAAGGGCGCGUAGGCGGCCUUCUAAGUCGAACGUGAAAUCCCCGGGCUCAACCCGGGAACUGCGUCCGAUACUGGACGGCUUGAGUUUGGGAGAGGGACGCGGAAUUCCAGGUGUAGCGGUGAAAUGCGCAGAAUAUCAGGAGGACACCGGUGGCGAAGGCGGGAAUU
rnacentral:rRNA from 1 species